rnacentral:rRNA from 1 species
UAAUACUUGAACGAAUAUUUAUUAUAUUUACUAGCGUUAAAACUAGUAAAAAUAAUAAAUAUGUAUCUGUUAAGCCUUAUAAAAAGAUAGUUUAAAUUAAAGGAAUUAUAACAAAGAAGUAACACGUAAUAAAUUAUAUUUAUUAAGUGUGUAUCAAUCGAGUUUCUGACCUAUCAGCUUUUGAUGUUAGGGUAUUGGCCUAACAUGGCUAUGACGGGUAACGGGGAAUUAGAGUUCGAUUCCGGAGAGGGAGCCUGAGGAAUAGCUACCACAUCUAAGGAAGGCAGCAGGCGCGUAAAUUACCCAAUUCUAAAGAAGAGAGGUAGUGACAAGAAAUAACAAUGCAAGGCCAAAUUUUGGUUUUGCAAUUGGAAUGAUAGGAAUUUAAAAACUUCCUAAAGUAACAAUUGGAGGGCAAGUCUGGUGCCAGCAGCCGCGGUAAUUCCAGCUCCAAUAGCGUAUAUUAAAAUUGUUGCAGUUAAAACGCUCGUAGUUGAAUAUCAAAAAAUCUAAAUUUUAUUAAAUCUAUUUUUUUCUUAUUUUUUUCUGCUUAUUAAAAUGUGGUAUCUUCGGAUACCCGAUUUAAUUUGCAUAAAGAAAACUAUAGGAAAAAAAAUAUGAUUUCUUAAAUUUAAAAAGAUUUUUUUUAAAGAUUAUUUAUUACAUAUGUUUUCUAAAUAUAUGUGAUGACAAUUUUUGUUACUUUGAGUAAAUUAGAGUGUUCAAAGCAUGCAGUUAAAACAGUUAUCUGUGUAUGAAUACUAUAGCAUGGAAUAGCAGAAUUGAACAAGCUAAAAUUUUGUUCUAUUUUUUUUAUUUUGGCUUAGUUACGAUUAAUAGGAGUAGUUUGGAGGCAUUAGUAUUCAGAUGUUAGAGGUGAAAUUCUUAGAUUUUCUGGAGACUAACAACUGCGAAAGCAUUUGCCUAAAAUACUUCCAUUAAUCAAGAACGAAAGUUAAGGGAGUGAAGACGAUCAGAUACCGUCGUAAUCUUAACCAUAAACUAUGCCGACUAGGUGUUGGAUGAAAGUGUAAAAAAUAAAAAAUAUUUAUUAUUCAAGUCCCUGAUUUGAACAUAUAAAUAUUUUUUAGAUUGCUUCCUUCAGUACCUUAUGAGAAAUCAAAGUCUUUGGGUUCUGGGGCGAGUAUUCGCGCAAGCGAGAAAGUUAAAAGAAUUGACGGAAGGGCACCACCAGGCGUGGAGCUUGCGGCUUAAUUUGACUCAACACGGGAAAACUCACUAGUUUAAGACAAGAGUAGGAUUGACAGAUUAAUAGCUCUUUCUUGAUUUCUUGGAUGGUGAUGCAUGGCCGUUUUUAGUUCGUGAAUAUGAUUUGUCUGGUUAAUUCCGAUAACGAACGAGAUCUUAACCUGCUAACUAGCGGUAAAUAUGCUAUAUUCAUAUAGAAAAAGGGAAAACUGGAAAUUAAUAAGUAAUAAUAGAAAAAAUUAGGAUGCUAUAUAUUAAUUUAUAUAAAUUCCUUUUUUUUUACUAUCAUUUACUAUAUUUAUUUUUUUGUUAUCUCUUUUACUAUAUGAAUGUAUUUACUUGAUUGUAAAGCUUCUUAGAGGGACAUUGCGUGUCUAACGCAAGGAAGUUUGAGGCAACAACAGGUCUGUGAUGUCCUUAGAUGAACUAGGCUGCACGCGUGCUACAAUGAUAUAUAUAACGAGUUUUAAAAAAUAUAUUUUUUUACAUAUAAUAUGUUUACAUAUAUUAUGUAAAAAAGAUAUAAUUUUCCUUCACUGAAAAGUGUAGGCAAUCUUUAUCAAUAUAUAUCGUAAUGGGGAUAGAUUAUUGCAAUUAUUAAUCUUGAACGAGGAAUGCCUAGUAAGCAUAAUUCAUCAGAUUGUGCUGACUACGUCCCUGCCCUUUGCACACACCGCCCGUCGCUCCUACCGAUUGAAAGAUAUGAUGAAUUGUUUGGACAAGAAAAAACAAAAUUUAUAUUUUGUUUUUUUUUGAAAAAACCGUAAAU